rnacentral:rRNA from 1 species
GCCCUGGCAGUCAGAGGCGAUGAAGGACGUGCUAAUCUGCGAUAAGCGUCGGUAAGGUGAUAUGAACCGUUAUAACCGGCGAUUUCCGAAUGGGGAAACCCAGUGUGAUUCGUCACACUAUCAUUAACUGAAUCCAUAGGUUAAUGAGGCGAACCGGGGGAACUGAAACAUCUAAGUACCCCGAGGAAAAGAAAUCAACCGAGAUUCCCCCAGUAGCGGCGAGCGAACGGGGAGCAGCCCAGAGCCUGAAUCAGUGUGUGUGUUAGUGGAAGCGUCUGGAAAGGCGCGCGAUACAGGGUGACAGCCCCGUACACAAAAAUGCACAUACUGUGAGCUCGAUGAGUAGGGCGGGACACGUGGUAUCCUGUCUGAAUAUGGGGGGACCAUCCUCCAAGGCUAAAUACUCCUGACUGACCGAUAGUGAACCAGUACCGUGAGGGAAAGGCGAAAAGAACCCCGGCGAGGGGAGUGAAAAAGAACCUGAAACCGUGUACGUACAAGCAGUGGGAGCCUCUUUAUGGGGUGACUGCGUACCUUUUGUAUAAUGGGUCAGCGACUUAUAUUCUGUAGCAAGGUUAACCGAAUAGGGGAGCCGAAGGGAAACCGAGUCUUAACUGGGCGUUAAGUUGCAGGGUAUAGACCCGAAACCCGGUGAUCUAGCCAUGGGCAGGUUGAAGGUUGGGUAACACUAACUGGAGGACCGAACCGACUAAUGUUGAAAAAUUAGCGGAUGACUUGUGGCUGGGGGUGAAAGGCCAAUCAAACCGGGAGAUAGCUGGUUCUCCCCGAAAGCUAUUUAGGUAGCGCCUCGUGAAUUCAUCUCCGGGGGUAGAGCACUGUUUCGGCAAGGGGGUCAUCCCGACUUACCAACCCGAUGCAAACUGCGAAUACCGGAGAAUGUUAUCACGGGAGACACACGGCGGGUGCUAACGUCCGUCGUGAAGAGGGAAACAACCCAGACCGCCAGCUAAGGUCCCAAAGUCAUGGUUAAGUGGGAAACGAUGUGGGAAGGCCCAGACAGCCAGGAUGUUGGCUUAGAAGCAGCCAUCAUUUAAAGAAAGCGUAAUAGCUCACUGGUCGAGUCGGCCUGCGCGGAAGAUGUAACGGGGCUAAACCAUG